UGCUCACUUCGGCAGCACAUAACUAAAACUGGAAUGAUACAGAGAAGAUUAGCAUGGCCCCUGUGCAAGGAUGACAUGCAAAUUCAUGAAGCGUUCCAUAUUUUU
rnacentral:snRNA from 1 species